rnacentral:lncRNA from 1 species
UCGGAGGCUGCGAGUGUCGUUGCUGAAGGCUGUAGUGGACCGGGCUGGAUCGCGGAUUUUGGAGAUCAUAGAUAUCGGAUCGCGGAUUGGGAGUUGGAUCUCGGAUUGGGGGUUGGAUCGGGGAUUUGGGGUUGGAUAGGUGAUUUGGGGCUGGGUCGGCGGGGGCGGGGGGUGGUAGUGAAAAGGUGACAGGGAGCUGCCCCCUCUCAAGAGCCGGUGAUUGGGGGUCUGAGAAGUCACCACCAUGAAGUUGUUCGGCUUCGGGAGCCGCAGGGGCCAGAUGGUCCUGGACUCCAUAGACCACGUCUACACGGCUUCCGGGUACCGAAUCCGGCACUCCGAACUGCAGAAGAUCCACAAGGCGGCUGUCAAGGGCGACGCCACGGAGGUGGAGCGCUGUCUGGCGCGCAGGAGCGGAGACCUGGACGCCCUGGACAAGCAGCAAAGAACUGCUCUACAUUUGGCCUGUGCCAGUGGCCAUGUGAAAGUGGUC